GAACUCGGGUAUUAAUGACCCGGAGCCACAUGACAGAGCAUGACACAGCACUUUUGGGCGCAAGGCAGGGCCCAGAGGGGUGCGUGGGGGGCCGCAGCCCAGCCCCCUGGAGGCCGGCUGGCUGCACCUACAGUAUACCAGGCUCUAGGAGACCCAGCAAGGUCUCCUUCUGCAUUCUGGUGGAAGAGACAAGAUCAGUUGAGCAAGCCCAGGAACAGAGAAGAUCAUUUCAGCGGGGGAGAAGCCCCAUGACCGAAACACACAGGGGUGUUCGGGAGCUUCAUGGAUCAGAGAGGGCUUCUCAGAAGAGACCGAGCGCUGGGGACGGCACAGCUCGGACGAAACCGCCCGCUGUGAUGGGAGAGGUGGCGCGGCGUGGCAAGCAGCGAAGAACACGGACUCUGAGCCAGAAGGCCUGGCUCUGCUCCUGGCCCACCUCUCAUCAACUGUGAGACUUUGGGCAAGUUGCCUUACCUCUCUGAGCCUUUUCUGUCAAAUGGAAUAAAUUACAGUACCCACCUCGUGGGGCUGUUCUA
ensembl:lncRNA